rnacentral:rRNA from 1 species
CAGCAGCCGCGGUAAUACGGAGGGUGCAAGCGUUAAUCGGAAUUACUGGGCGUAAAGCGCACGCAGGCGGUCUGACAAGUCAGAUGUGAAAUCCCCGGGCUUAACCUGGGAACUGCAUUUGAAACUGUCAGGCUGGAGUCUUGUAGAGGGGGGUGGAAUUCCAGGUGUAGCGGUGAAAUGCGUAGAGAUCUGGAGGAAUACCGGUGGCGAAGGCGGCCCCCUGGACAAAGACUGACGCUCAGGUGCGAAAGCGUGGGGAGCAAACAGGAUUAGAUACCCGAGUAGUCCAUGUCUCUUAUAC